AACCCACGAUUUGGACAUUUUUUUAGCAUCACUUUGAAUUUCUCCCAUGUUUCACAUAAGACUUCAUUUGUUCCUUGUCUGAACAUUGAAAUAUCAAACUUUGCUU
rnacentral:snoRNA from 1 species